CUCACCGAGGGAUGUCUGAUGGAGGAAGUGGGAACAUUUGGACAGAGAUUGUUCAAGAUUCUAUUAAAGGUUUCAAGUGGCUUCCUUUGAACAUUUGA
rnacentral:lncRNA from 1 species